UUGCACGCUGGCGGCCGGCCUCACCCCUGCCAGUCGAGCGGAUGAAGGGAGCUUGCUCCUGGAUUCAGCGGCGGACGGGUGAGUAAUGCCUAGGAAUCUGCCUGGUAGUGGGGGAUAACGUCCGGAAACGGGCGCUAAUACCGCAUACGUCCUGAGGGAGAAAGUGGGGGAUCUUCGGACCUCACGCUAUCAGAUGAGCCUAGGUCGGAUUAGCUAGUUGGUGGGGUAAAGGCCUACCAAGGCGACGAUCCGUAACUGGUCUGAGAGGAUGAUCAGUCACACUGGAACUGAGACACGGUCCAGACUCCUACGGGAGGCAGCAGUGGGGAAUAUUGGACAAUGGGCGAAAGCCUGAUCCAGCCAUGCCGCGUGUGUGAAGAAGGUCUUCGGAUUGUAAAGCACUUUAAGUUGGGAGGAAGGGCAGUAAGUUAAUACCUUGCUGUUUUGACGUUACCAACAGAAUAAGCACCGGCUAACUUCGUG
rnacentral:rRNA from 1 species